rfam:Shewanella benthica KT99 1099576005669, whole genome shotgun sequence.
UUGAGCCCAGUGCAGUGAAAGUUGCACGCUGGGUUCUUAGGAGGGCGGCACUUGGCAACAAGUGCCGCCUAUCCGAC